UGAGUAACACGUGAGUGACCUGCCUUUUAGACUGGAACAACUUACCGAAAGGUGAGCUAAUGCCGGAUGAGUUAUAUAAGUGCAUGUUUAUAUAGGAAAAGUUGGGGAGACCUGACGCUGAAAGAUGGACUCGCGUCCCAUUAGCUAGUUGGUAGGGUAAUGGCCUACCAAGGCGACGAUGGGUAGCCGGCCUGAGAGGGUGGCCGGCCACACUGGGACUGAGACACGGCCCAGACUCCUACGGAAGGCAGCAG
rnacentral:rRNA from 1 species